AUGCCCAAGGCUCCGGGAUUCAAGCCCUGCGGUUCCUGCUCUAAGCCCAUGCCAACGGGCGAACCCCAUGACUCUGGCCUAAAGUUUCUGGGGGAGUCUCAUCAAGCAGACAAGUGCAGGAUCUGCAAAGGGUUUCAUCCCUGGACUAAGAAGAAGCGGGACUUUAGUUUAAAACAGCGCCUCAUGGGGGCGACUCUUGGCCCUCGGCCUCCUGCGGCGUGCCAAGAUCUGGCACCAAGCACUUCGGUGCGCAGCACCCCAGCAGCAACGGUAGGAGUUACCACGCAGUUGGAUUCUGAACGAGACCCGUGGCACCGACACUCCCCGGCUCCGCAACCAACUUCAUUGGCCUGGCACCCCUCCCAUUCUGGCCAGAAGCGGUACCGGAAGCCGGAAAAGGGUGGCCCGCCUCCUCAGAGACCAGCCUCCCUGGAACCACCCGUGGAGACACGUCCCGGAGGGGAGCAUCUAGGGGCACAGCCUACGGCUUCGGAGCCAUUGAGUUCAGUGCCACUGGACUCCCUGACGUACAGCUUGGUUGAGGUCCAAUUGCCGUCCGACCCGGAUACCUUUGCUGCUGCAAGGGAUCUUAUUGCCAUGACGGCAUCAGCAUCCUCUCAGCCUCAUGCCAAAGCACCGGUUCCUGUACGUGCGGCACUGUCCCAGGGCAAGCCGGCCCUAAUCCAUCCGUCAGCGCCGUCGGUCAAGCCCCGGCACCGAUCCCGUUCUUGGCACCAUUCCCACUUCCGACACCGCGCUCAUUCGCGGCGCCGGACAUACUCGUGGCACAGGUCGUACUCGCAGCACAGCUUUGGCACAGGUCCCAGUGCUGAUCUGCCCACCGAUUGCCAUCGAGGAGCAGAUCCCAGACUUGAUGCCGCUCUUGCUGCUGGUCAUCAUCUUGACCCAGGUCCCAAUCCAGGCGCCGGUCCAGGUCCCGGCAUCGCUCCCCUGUGUCGUGGCACCGUUCCCCAUCGCCUCAUAGACAUGACCCAGCUCAGAUCUGCUCGGCACCACCGUGGCCCUCAUGUUCUGCUUCUCGUUCUUCAGGAUCGGAAGCAGGGUCACGUUUCUCUGCACGCCUCCAUUUGGGCUGGGCAUUGGCAGAGUCCCAUUCAAGGGCCCACUCAGUGGUCGUUCUGGAUGCCCUGGGCAUACUACCAGGCCCAGGGUGCUCCAUCUUGGGCUUCUCUAUCAGCCCCGUCCGAGCCACAAGUGCCAAAGGCUACCACCAGUCGGCCCACCCUGGGAGGCAUGGAGACCGUGGCAGCUUCCCUCCCCCACCGGUUCCUGGUCCGGGCCCUGAGAUAG
rnacentral:lncRNA from 1 species